AUGCUUCUCCUAAAGACUAAGCCAUGCAUGUCUCCGAAUAGAAGAGCAAGUCUCUCUGAAUCUGCGAACGGCUCCGCAUACCAGUUGUAAACCAUAGCAAGCAAACCGGGUCGUCGCUUCAUGGCGUGCGGCUCGGUUCAUAAGGAUACCCAUGGUAAUUCUGAGGCUAAUACAAGAACGUACAACCCGCUCGACCCGUCAGGGAAGGGUGGGGAAUGUGUGACUAGGCACGCAAAUAGCAUAAUGGGAGUGGCCA
rnacentral:rRNA from 1 species